UUAUUAUUCGCCGAGCUUUCUUAGCUACACCUAAUAAUUUUAGGCAUGCUACUUAAGCCGUAAACCAAGUUGUAAACUUGAGUUUGCCAGGGUUAACAAGGAAACUUGUUUGCCUCCCGACUUUGGAAAGGUGACAUGUUAA
rnacentral:ncRNA from 1 species